rnacentral:rRNA from 1 species
GUGCUAAGGUAGCGCAAUAACUUGCCUUCUAAUUAAAGGAUCGUAUGAAAGGACACAUGACUUUCUUAUUUUCUCAUAUAUUUUAAAAUAAAUUUAACCUACAAGUAAAAAGACUUGUAUUAACAAGAAAGACGACAAGACCCUAUAGAACUUCACUAUUGUUAAACUGGGGUGGUCAACAACAAAAGCUUAUCUUCCCAAACCACACAAAGACCUGAAACUUUCAACAAAAGAACAAGUUACCUUAGGGAUAACAGAGUAAUUCCUCUCUAGACCUGUUCCAAAGAGGAGCUUUCUACCUCGAUGUUGAAUUUAAUAUUACUUCAUAAAUAAACAUUAUACAAGUAGGUCUGUUCGACCUUUAAAAUAUUACAUGAU